GACGAACGCUGGCGGCGUGCUUAACACAUGCAAGUCGAACGAAGAGCGAUGGAAGCUUGCUUCUAUCAAUCUUAGUGGCGAACGGGUGAGUAACGCGUAAUCAACCUGCCCUUCAGAGGGGGACAACAGUUGGAAACGACUGCUAGUACCGCAUACGAUCUAAUCUCGGCAUCGAGGAUAGAUGAAAGGUGGCCUCUACAUGUAAGCUAUCACUGAAGGAGGGGAUUGCGUCUGAUUAGCUAGUUGGAGGGGUAACGGCCCACCAAGGCGAUGAUCAGUAGCCGGUCUGAGAGGAUGAACGGCCACAUUGGGACUGAGACACGGCCCAGACUCCUACGGGAGGCAGCAGUGGGGAAUCUUCCGCAAUGGACGAAAGUCUGACGGAGCAACGCCGCGUGAGCGAUGACGGCCUUCGGGUUGUAAAGCUCUGUUAAUCGGGACGAAAGGCCUUCUUGCGAAUAGUGAGAAGGAUUGACGGUACCGGAAUAGAAAGCCACGGCUAACUACGUG
rnacentral:rRNA from 1 species